GAACGCUAGCUACAGGCUUAACACAUGCAAGUCGAGGGGCAUCAGGAAGAAAGCUUGCUUUCUUUGCUGGCGACCGGCGCACGGGUGAGUAACACGUAUCCAACCUGCCCUUUACUCGGGGAUAGCCUUUCGAAAGAAAGAUUAAUACCCGAUAGCAUAAUGAUUCCGCAUGGUUUCAUUAUUAAAGGAUUCCGGUAAAGGAUGGGGAUGCGUUCCAUUAGGUUGUUGGUGAGGUAACGGCCCACCAAGCCUUCGAUGGAUAGGGGUUCUGAGAGGAAGGUCCCCCACAUUGGAACUGAGACACGGUCCAAACUCCUACGGGAGGCAGCAGUGAGGAAUAUUGGUCAAUGGGCGCUAGCCUGAACCAGCCAAGUAGCGUGAAGGAUGAAGGCUCUAUGGGUCGUAAACUUCUUUUAUAUAAGAAUAAAGUGCAGUAUGUAUACUGUUUUGUAUGUAUUAUAUGAAUAAGGAUCGGCUAACUCCGUGCCAGCAGCCGCGGUAAUACGGAGGAUCCGAGCGUUAUCCGGAUUUAUUGGGUUUAAAGGGAGCGUAGGUGGACUGGUAAGUCAGUUGUGAAAGUUUGCGGCUCAACCGUAAAAUUGCAGUUGAUACUGUCAGUCUUGAGUACAGUAGAGGUGGGCGGAAUUCGUGGUGUAGCGGUGAAAUGCUUAGAUAUCACGAAGAACUCCGAUUGCGAAGGCAGCUCACUGGACUGCAACUGACACUGAUGCUCGAAAGUGUGGGUAUCAAACAGGAUUAGAUACCCUGGUAGUCCACACAGUAAACGAUGAAUACUCGCUGUUUGCGAUAUACAGUAAGCGGCCAAGCGAAAGCAUUAAGUAUUCCACCUGGGGAGUACGCCGGCAACGGUGAAACUCAAAGGAAUUGACGGGGGCCCGCACAAGCGGAGGAACAUGUGGUUUAAUUCGAUGAUACGCGAGGAACCUUACCCGGGCUUAAAUUGCAGUGGAAUGAUGUGGAAACAUGUCAGUGAGCAAUCACCGCUGUGAAGGUGCUGCAUGGUUGUCGUCAGCUCGUGCCGUGAGGUGUCGGCUUAAGUGCCAUAACGAGCGCAACCCUUAUCUUUAGUUACUAACAGGUUAUGCUGAGGACUCUAGAGAGACUGCCGUCGUAAGAUGUGAGGAAGGUGGGGAUGACGUCAAAUCAGCACGGCCCUUACGUCCGGGGCUACACACGUGUUACAAUGGGGGGUACAGAAGGCAGCUAGCGGGUGACCGUAUGCUAAUCCCAAAAUCCUCUCUCAGUUCGGAUCGAAGUCUGCAACCCGACUUCGUGAAGCUGGAUUCGCUAGUAAUCGCGCAUCAGCCACGGCGCGGUGAAUACGUUCCCGGGCCUUGUACACACCGCCCGUCAAGCCAUGGGAGCCGGGGGUACCUGAAGUACGUAACCGCAAGGAUCGUCCUAGGGUAAAACUGGC
rnacentral:rRNA from 1 species